UACGGAGGGUGCAAGCGUUAUCCGGAUUCACUGGGUUUAAAGGGUGCGUAGGCGGGCAGGUAAGUCCGUGGUGAAAUCUCUGAGCUUAACUCAGAAACUGCCAUGGAUACUAUUUGUCUUGAAUAUUGUGGAGGUAAGCGGAAUAUGUCAUGUAGCGGUGAAAUGCUUAGAUAUGACAUAGAACACCAAUUGCGAAGGCAGCUUACUACACAGUUAUUGACGCUGAGCCACGAAAGCGUGGGGAUCAAACAGG
rnacentral:rRNA from 1 species